CCGAGAGGUCGCUGCUCAGAGUUGGCGCCAGCGCUCUGGCCUUGCGCUGUCCCUCAAGAGGUGACCAGGGUUUAAUGUAGGACAAGCAGUUCUUUACAUGCCAGAUGGAUUCUUGGAAUGAAGCAGGCUACUCGGUUCCAGCUGUCACCAAAUCUUCAUAUAUUUUUGCAUAAAGGAGCAAGAGCAAGCAGCCAGUCUUUCAUAAUUGCCAACGCUGAAGAUGUAAAACCACGGAAUUCUAUCUGAAAGAUGUCUGAAGCUCUAAAUUUCUUCCAGCUCUAAAAUUCAAUGAUCCUGUGACUCACUAUCAGACCUCCUCCCUGCCCUCAUUCUAGGCUCAUAAUCUUGACUAAUCAGUUAUGAGGAUGAGCCUAAUUAGCAAUGGGGAUUUAUGGUUAUUUCUAGCCCACUUCAAACAAUGAGUUAUGUAAGCAAAGCAACAUAUAUAAAAAUGUAAAUAAAAUUAAAGAAACACUUAAGCAAAUAAAGGCAAAUGGGAUGUAUGGGCUAUGUAAACAAACAGGAACAUAAAAACAUAAAUCAGAAUUAAGAAAACAGUUAAGCAAAUGCCACCAAUUAGGAAUAAAACAACUUGUUAAAUGUCUAACACCCGCAGCUAUUUUAUGGUGCACACCUCUAAACCCAUGGUCAUUCAGUGAUGUGGAAACUUGAUACCAUAAUUCUGCAUUAAGUGAUUGGAUUAGAUUGACCUUCUGCUUGGGAGGCUUCUCUUUUGUUAUUGUCAAUAUGAGUUGCAGUAAAAGCCAGAGGGUCCUAGCAAGGAUUCCCUCACAGGCUCAUUGACAACUGCCAUUGAUUUAAAGCAUAAAUUCUUUUAGAUUGGUUUCCAAGCCCCAAUAAACAGUGUCAACUAAUUGCACAUGCUCCAAGAUCUCCUGUGCUUUUGCCAGUUUCUCAGGAUGUUGCCUUGUCUCACUCAGCAAUCUGAGUCGCAUUGUUGGUGCCUUCACAGAUAAUAGAAUAGAACCUCCCUAAGUACCUAAAUCCACCUUUGCUGUUUCUAAGGCAGUGAUUAUUAAAAAGUCAAAGGAAAUGGAAUUUACUUUUGGUGAGUGUACAUUCAUGUAAAGUGAACAGUGACAAAGUGGUGACAACCAAGUAGGGGCUCUGUCCUAUCCAUCCCUUUCCAUGAGCUUGGUUUAUAUUAAUGGCACCACUGCCUAUAUCAAUAUGGUGAUCAUCACAGCAGAUGCCAUUAUCCUGUACUCUCUCAGAGUAGGAUACUGUGCUCUGUGUUCUUACUCCAUCUUAUUUCAAUCUCACAACAGCCCUACCUAGGUGAGAUUAUUAAAUAUAAGGAAGCAGACUGAAAGACGGUAAGGAACUUACACAAGACCACCAAGCCAGUAAGUACUGGACCUGGGAUUCAAAUCUUGAUCUGUGUGGCUGCAAAGUCUGCCCUAUGAAACACUGCAAAAGAAGUCAUUUAAUCAAGAUUACUAAGUAAAAGUCACAAGGUUUCACAGGUGAACUGUAAAUUAAUGAAAGUAACCAAGUACUUAAUAAAAAGAGGAUAAACAACUCUCUGAGGGAUUAGAGGAAUCUGGGUCUCAUGGCAGCAGAACAGGGAAAUGAAGAACAAAGCCCAGCCAGACCAUCCUUCAUGGCCAUCUAGGACCACACCUCUCUGAAGCUUUCCUGCCAUGCCUGCCUUCAUUGAUCUUCAUCUGCUGUAAAUUCUCUCCAAAUAUAUUGCCUGUAAUAUUGUAAUUUACCACCAUACUAGAUAGACCCAUGUUGUUUGCGCUCAAUUCACCUGUUAGUUUUCUCAUCUAGUUCGUAUGCAUGUUAAGGACAAAGUAUAUAUUUUGAGAUGGACUGUCACAUGACUGAUUUGGCUUUAAAAAAAAACAAACCUCAGAUAUCUAAGAAGUUGUCACUUUGGCGAAAUUGACUAAAUACUUAUUCCCAAACAUAUCAUUGCUCCAUCACUUUGGGAAUGACUCUUUAAAAGUGGCCUUUACAGUUGGUAGUACAUGUGACAUGUGACAAAUCUUCAUCUUCUGAAGAUGUAUUCGAUUGAGCAACCAAAGGAUCAGUGAGAUAACAGUGCACCCUCCUACUCUGAGGUCCUUAAAAGAGAAUAUUUAUUGGAAUACAUAACUUCUGGAAGGUUUGAUAGAAAGCCCCAUCUUUAACAUCCUUUCAUUCCUCAUAGCACCUAGUACAGUGCAGUCUCAUACAUAGUAGGCACUUGGGGCCAACACUGUCUGUUGCUGUCAUUCACUGUCCCACCUCCUUCCAUGCUGAUAGAACCCUGAUUAUUCUGAUGGCAAUGUGCUCAGUCUCAGUGACGGUCUAAGCUGAGUAUAAGCAUCCUGUCUCCUGCCUUCUGAGCCUGUUCAAGGGAUGGAUUAGUUUCCUGGUUUAAAGAAAAAGGACAGACAUAGCUCUUCUUCCUUCUGCCUCUUUCCAUCUUUGAAUGUAGUUCUGAUUCUGGAGUGGUAGCAGCAGCCAUCUUGUGAUAAUGAGGUGACAGUACGAGAAUAAAAAUCCACAUGGUUUGGUGGUUUAUCUCUGUGGUCUUCCUCCCCAAAACCCAUAAUCCCAAUCUAAUCAUGAGAAAAACAUUAAAUUCCAGUUGAGGGACAUUCUACAAAAUACCCAACUAGUACUCCUCAAAACUUUGAAGGUCAUCAAAAACAAGGAAUAUCGGGGCUUCCCUGGUGACUCAGUGGUUGAGAGUCCGCCUGCCGAUGCAGGGGACAUGGGUUCGUGCCCCGGUUCUGGGAAGAUCCCACAUGCCGUGGAGCAGCUGGGCCCGUGAGCCAUGGCCGCUGAGUCUGCGCGUCCGGAGCUUGUGCUCCGCAACGGGAGAGGCCACAACAGUGAGAGGCCCACGUACCGCCAAAAAAAAAAAAAAAAGGAAUAUCUGAAAAACUGUGACAACCAAGAAAAGUCUAGGGAGAUAUGACAACCAAGAAGAGUCUAAGGAGAUAUGACAACUAAAUGUAAAAUGAUAUCCCAGAUUGGUUUCUGGAACAGGAAAAGGACAUUAGGGAAAACUAAAGAAAUCUGAAUAAACUAUGGACUUUUGUUAAUAAUAAUGUAACACUACUGGUUCAUUAAUUGUACAUUCAACAAAUGUGCCAUAUUAGUAUAAGAUGUUAAUAAUAGGGGAAACCAUGUGGGAGGUAUUGGAGAACCUCUGUACUAUUUUAUCAUUUUUCUGUAAAUAUUCUAAAAUAAAACAUUGAUCAAAAAUAAACAUAGUUAAGUGUUGCAGAGAGAUAGGGAGAGCCUAGGUGCCUGGAGACAUCACUGAACAUCUGAACAAAACCAACAUUGCUUACUCCUGGGUUUCUAGUUAUGUAAGAAAAUUUAAUUCCUAUUUUAAAAUUCCUAUUGGUUGGGUUUUCUGUUACUUCCAGCAAAGCUAUUCUAGCACUAUAAAUAUAUAAAGGAUGGGUGGAUGGAAGAAUAGCCUCACACAGUGCCUGGUAUAUAGUAUGAGCUCCUACAGGUUGGAAGAUGUUAUAUAUAAUAAAAAAAUUUAUCUGAUCUUGUCCUAGGUUCCUGGAGAUAACUUCUAAAACCUUUGGAAUUUGCCAAGAGACAGGAGUGUCUUUGUUAUUCGUGAGCCCCUGGAUCACACCUGAGUUUAUGCUAACAGGAACACUCAGGAUUAGGGGCUGAUAACCAGGAAGACCAACUGUGUAGUGAGAGGGUAGGGUUUGAGCCAGCUCAUCCUCCCUGGCAGGGAAGGGAGCUGGAGAUGGAGUUCCGUCAUGUGGCCAAUGAAUCAAUCAAUCAUGCCUAUGUAAUGAAGCCCUAAUAAAAACUCUAGAUACCAAAGCUCAGUGGAGCUUCCUGGUUGGUGAACACAUUGGUAUGCCUGGAAGGUAAUGUGCCCUGAUGCUACGGGGAGAGAGCUUGGGAGCUCUGCAUUCAGGACCUUGACCUAUGUGUCUCUUCAUUUGACUGGUCCUGCUUUAUAUGCUUUAUAAUAAAACUGUAAUCAUAAGUA